rnacentral:rRNA from 1 species
AGUGAACGCUGGCGGUAGGCCUAACACAUGCAAGUCGAACGGCAGCACAGUAAGAGCUUGCUCUUACGGGUGGCGAGUGGCGGACGGGUGAGGAAUACAUCGGAAUCUACUUUUUCGUGGGGGAUAACGUAGGGAAACUUACGCUAAUACCGCAUACGACCUACGGGUGAAAGCAGGGGAUCUUCGGGCCUUGCGCGAUUGAAUGAGCCGACGUCGGAUUAGCUAGUUGGCGGGGUAAAGGCCCACCAAGGCGACGAUCCGUAGCUGGUCUGAGAGGAUGAUCAGCCACACUGGAACUGAGACACGGCCCAGACUCCUACGGGAGGCAGCAGUGGGGAAUAUUGGACAAUGGGCGCAAGCCUGAUCCAGCCAUACCGCGUGGGUGAAGAAGGCCUUCGGGUUGUAAAGCCCUUUUGUUGGGAAAGAAAAGCAGCAGGUUAAUACCCCGCUGUUCUGACGGUACCCAAAGAAUAAGCACCGGCUAACUUCGUG